rnacentral:rRNA from 1 species
UACGAAGGGGGCUAGCGUUGUUCGGAAUUACUGGGCGUAAAGGGCGCGUAGGCGGUGUGUCAAGUCAGGCGUGAAAGCCCCGGGCUCAACCUGGGAACCGCGCUUGAGACUGGCACGCUCGAGUUCGGGAGAGGAUGGUGGAAUUCCCAGUGUAGAGGUGAAAUUCGUAGAUAUUGGGAAGAACACCGAUGGCGAAGGCAGCCAUCUGGACCGACACUGACGCUGAGGCGCGAAAGCGUGGGGGGCAAACAGG